GACAGAGGGGGCAAGCGUUGCUCGGAAUCACUGGGCGUAAAGGGCGCGUAGGCGGGAUGGCAAGUCGGUCGUGAAAGCCUUCGGCUCAACCGAAGAACGUCGGCCGAUACUGCCGUUCUUGAGGGAUGCAGAGGAGACUGGAAUUCCCGGUGUAGCGGUGAAAUGUGUAGAGAUCGGGAGGAACACCGGUGGCGAAGGCGGGUCUCUGGGCAUCUCCUGACGCUGAGGCGCGAAAGCGUGGGGAGCAAACAGG
rnacentral:rRNA from 1 species